AAAGCUGACUCAGUCUCAAGACAAAGCACUAAAUUUGCUGGGCAUUUGGAAAAGCGUAUUUAGAGUUGUUCCUGGGCCUACAUCAAAGACCUC
rnacentral:lncRNA from 1 species